AAAACAAGUUAAAACUUUCAACAACGGAUCUCUUGGUUCUGGCAUCGAUGAAGAACGCAGCGAAAUGCGAUAAGUAAUGUGAAUUGCAGAAUUCAGUGAAUCAUCGAAUCUUUGAACGCACAUUGCGCCCGGCAGUAAUCUGCCGGGCAUGCCUGUCCG
rnacentral:rRNA from 1 species